rnacentral:rRNA from 1 species
UACGUAGGGGGCAAGCGUUGUCCGGAAUCAUUGGGCGUAAAGCGCGUGUAGGCGGCUUGGUAAGUCCGCUCUGAAAGCCCGGGGCUCAACCCCGGGAGGCGGGUGGAUACUGUCAAGCUCGAGUCCGGAAGAGGCGAGUGGAAUUCCUGGUGUAGCGGUGAAAUGCGUAGAUAUCAGGAGGAACACCUGCGGUGUAGACGGCUUUCUGGACCAUUACUGACACUGAGACACGAAAGCGUGGGUAGCAAACAGG